rnacentral:lncRNA from 1 species
AUGGGUUUGGAUUAUAUCUGGUGGCACGGCGGAGAAGGUGGCUCCCUCCGUUGGUGUGGUUUUGCCGAUAGUGGAAAUGACCAUAGUGUGUUAUUAUAGUAAGCAUGGAACAAGUUUUUAUUACUUGUGUGCUGUUGUUUGUAUUUAUAUAUGGAGAAUGAGAGGGAGAAGCGGUGGGUGCAAACUAAACUACAAAUGCAAUACAUGAUGGAGAGGUCAAAUCAGGUAGCGUAGUUAAUUACGAGACUACCCUUCUACCACCGUUGACUUCAAUGUUAAUAACUUCUGCUUCAUCAUAUGGAGUCUGGUCAGUGUUCAGAUUAUUCACCGGUAGCAGAGCUCGCACGGCUCGUUUGAAACGUGUAUAUUUUUUUUAUAAAUAGAAUCAUGACGUGAUAAUAUUUUUUAUACUUUUCAAAGUUUACAUUUUUGACACAUAGAAAAAGCAAGAUU